rnacentral:rRNA from 1 species
UCAAAGGAAUUGACGGGGGCCCGCACAAGCGGUGGAGUAUGUGGUUUAAUUCGAUGCAACGCGAAGAACCUUACCAGGGAUUGACAUCCUACGAAUCUUUUUGAAAGGAGAGAGUGCCUUCGGGAGCGUAGAGACAGGUGGUGCAUGGCUGUCGUCAGCUCGUGACGUGAGAUGUUGGGUUAAGUCCCGCAACGAGCGCAACCCUCGUCCUUAGUUGCCAUCAUUAAGUUGGGCACUUUAGGGAGACUGCCGGUGACAAACCGGAGGAAGGUGGGGAUGACGUCAAGUCAUCAUGCCCCUUACAUCCUGGGCUACACACGUACUACAAUGCAACGGACAAAGGGCAGCCAACUAGCGAUAGUGAGCUAAUCCCAUAAACCGUUGCUCAGUUCAGAUUGCAGGCUGCAACUCGCCUGCAUGAAGGCGGAAUCGCUAGUAAUCGCAGGUCAGCAUACUGCGGUGAAUACGUUCCCGGGCCUUGUACACACCGCCCGUCACACCAUGGAAGUUGGCCACGCCCGAAGUCGUUACCCCAACCGUUUACGGAGGGGGACGCCGAAGGCAGGGCUGAUGACUGGGGUGAAGUCGUAACAAGGUAACC